rnacentral:rRNA from 1 species
AUACGGAGGGUGCAAGCGUUGUUCGGAAUCACUGGGCGUAAAGCGCGCGCAGGCGGCUUGAUAAGUUGGAUGUGAAAGCCUACGGCUCAACCGUAGAACUGCAUCCAAAACUGUCAGUCUAGAGUGUGGGAGAGGAAGAUGGAAUUAGUUGUGUAGGGGUAAAAUCCGUAGAGAUAACUAGGAAUACCAAAAGCGAAGGCAAUCUUCUGGAACACUACUGACGCUGAGGCGCGAAGGCGUGGGGAGCAAACAGGAUUAGAUACCCCAGUAGUCC